UACGAAGGGGGCUAGCGUUGCUCGGAAUUACUGGGCGUAAAGCGCACGUAGGCGGCUUUCUAAGUCGGAGGUGAAAUCCUGGAGCUCAACUCCAGAACUGCCUUCGAUACUGGAGAGCUUGAGUCCGGGAGAGGUGAGUGGAACUGCGAAGUGUAGAGGUGAAAUCCGUAGAUAUUCGCAAGAACACCAGUGGCGAAGGCGGCUCACUGGCCCGGUACUGACGCUGAGGUGCGAAAGCGUGGGAGCAACAGG
rnacentral:rRNA from 1 species